rnacentral:lncRNA from 1 species
UAACUCAAGGUGUUCGGAUCUGGAAUCCUAGGGUUAGGCUCUUAUGAUUUUCAUUUGGGGUUUUUUGUUCUGCAAUUGAGGUUUCAAGCCGAAAUCAGUGAAAAUUACAUCUGAAUUGUUACAAUCAAGCAUACAUGGUGUAGUCGUUGACCCUAAUGUUGGAACCGUUUUGUGGUUUUCUGUUUGUAAAGAUCUGGUUGUAGCCGGUUGUUGUAGAUACAAAUGAAGAUGCGGUAGACAUUAGCGGUUUACACGUCCUCAUAUGCAUUCUAU